rnacentral:rRNA from 1 species
UACGUAGGGGGCUAGCGUUGUCCGGAAUCAUUGGGCGUAAAGCGCGUGUAGGCGGCCCGGUAAGUCCGCUGUGAAAGUCGGGGGCUCAACCCUCGGAUGCCGGUGGAUACUGUCGGGCUUGAGUACGGAAGAGGCGAGUGGAAUUCCUGGUGUAGCGGUGAAAUUCGUAGAUAUUCGGAAGAACACCAGUGGCGAAGGCGGCUCACUGGACCGUUGUUGACGCUGAGGUGCGAAAGCGUGGGGAGCAAACAGG